ensembl:lncRNA
UCUAAUUUGAUGCUCAGUCUCCUUACUUAAAAUGUAACUCACCUUCCUUGUGCUCUGCUCUCUUUUUCUCUGUAAAGAGCCUCAUCUGCUUUCUGGAACCCUGGUCCUCCACUUGCGUUCUUGCCUCCUCGCUUGGGAUGCCAGCGGUAACGGGACUGGCUCCCCGUUCUGAUUCUGAACAAGGUUACAGGCCAGUAUGGACUUCACUGCCCAGACUGGAAGUGAACUAGGAGGAAGGGACUGGGAAGAGCAUCUCCAAACACACCCAGAACUGCCGUUGGGUUAUACAUGGACUCUUGGAAGAGAACAGCUACAGGUUUUCAGCGAGGGCUUGAUGGGAGAAAAAGGGAAAAAAGGCUGGACUUCGCUGCGGCUCAUAGUCUCCAGGCAGGAUUCUUGAAGCACACAGGUUGUAACACCCCUACAGCUACCUCGAGGACUUCCUUUAAUGUUUCACCACCAGAGCUUCGUUCUGGUCAGUGUUCCUUCCCUCUGAUAACCAUAUAUAUCGCCUCCACCCCAUACAUGUUAGCAAUCGUCCUUCAAACAUACGGCCCACUGAUACACAUCGGAAGGGUCUCAUGACUAAUGUUUUACUAGAUAGGAGUAAAUAACCUUAUCUUAACAGCAGCUAGCCCCUCAGGGUCCUGGAAACCUUGCUUCCAAAUUCCUUAGAGACUUAACGCUAUUCCUACCCCCCACUAACUAAAAAGUACCUAAUCAGUUAUUCCUCACACUCCCAGUGUGCUCUUUCUGCUCACGGGGCCUUUUUUGCAACAAAAAUGGCUCAAGAAUUCUUUCUUGACUGGUGGCUCUCCACCCCACACCAGGGCUCUGUAACAAAAGGCAGAUCAACAGGAGAGAAACAAAGAGAAGUUUUAUUAACGUGUUUAUGUUAUGUAUACGUAGGAGAAACUGGAGAUGAGUGACUCAUAGUUUUGGUUAGAACCUGGUCUUAGCAAGGAAAGGUAUUUUUAGGGAAGAGACGAGAUAAAGGAAAAGGACUGUGGGUCUCCAGGCCAGCAAAUUGUGUGAGAACAACUCUAAGGGAAACGAAUGGCAGAAAAAGGCUAGUCACCACAGUCUGGCAUGUGGUUUUCUCUCAUGCCACCUCCAGGCUGAGAAGCGACUGAAAUGGUCUAUGGUGAUUAACUUUUGUCCUUUCUGGUACAGAGGGUAAAGGAGACACUUUUAUAAUUUUAUGUCUUGCUUUUAGGCAAAUAGGAGAAAAGCAGAGAGCUUUUUUUCUUCUUCUUUUGGGGGGAGGGAGGGCUGGUCCUUCUUAAUUGCCUUCAGUCUGAAAUAAUCCAUAUGCUGAAGUGGCAUAUUUUGCGGUGGCCAAAUGUUGCUACCCUUCACAGUUAAGGCUUUAAAGCUUGAAAAUUAAAGGAAGCCAUUUUUCUUUCAAUGUUGCUCCUAAGAAAAAGAUCAACGAGAAAUUAGUAUUUAUAUAUAUAUGAGAUUUAAUAUCUGUGAUUUUUAUUUUUUUAAUUAAAAAAAUUUUUAAGUUUAUCUAUUUUGAGAGAGAGAGAAAGAGAGAGACAGAGAGCGUGGGCAGGAGAGGGGCAGAGAGAGAGAAUCCCAGACAGGUUCCAUCCACACCAUCAGCGUGGAGCCCGGCGUGGGGCUUGAACCCACGAAACAUGAGAUUAGGACCUGAGCCGAAACCGGGAGUUGGGCGUUUAACCAAUGAGCCACCCAGGUGCCCCGACAUCUGGGAUUUUUCAAAUCGAGUGCAAUGAAAAUCACAUCUCUGAUUACACAAAACUAAAAACAGAUCACAGAGUAGAAACAAGAGUGAAAGAGUCCAAUGAAAGGGGAGACGAAAGCCAUUUAAAAACCUACUCUGAACUAGACGUGGAUUUAAAAAGAAGUAAACUACUUUCUUGUAUACCGUAGUAAUUUUAAGAACAUGGAUUCUAAGCCAGAUGAUUCAUCUGACAUCAUUUCAUCUGACAUCUUUUUUUUUUUUAAUUUUUUUUAACGUUUAUUUAUUUUUGAGACAGAGAGAGACAGAGCAUGAACAGGGGAGGAGCAGAGAGAGAGGGAGACACAGAAUCCGAAACAGGCUCCAGGCUCUGAGCUGUCAGCACAGAGCCUGACGCGGGGCUCGAACUCACGGACCGUGAGAUCAUGACCUGAGCCGAAGUCGGACGCUUAACCGACCGAGCCACCCAGGCGCCCCUCAUCUGACAUCUUUAAUAUAAUCGUCUUUGGGGUCUAGUAACCUUCUUAAGUGUGAAAUAAGUGCAGAUAAAAAUAAAACCUUCAUUAUGGUAUUUUAAGGAUUAAAC